rnacentral:rRNA from 1 species
UACGGAGGGUGCGAGCGUUGUCCGGAAUCACUGGGCGUAAAGGGCGCGUAGGCGGCGCGGGGAGUCAACGGUGAAAGCUCGGCGCUCAACGCCGAGUCGGCCGUCGAUACUCCCGUGCUCGAGCACUGUAGAGGCAGGUGGAAUUCCGGGUGUAGCGGUGGAAUGCGUAGAGAUCCGGAAGGAACGCCCAUGGCGAAAGCGAGGUCCUGGACGUUUACUGACGCUGAGACGCGAAAGCCAGGGGAGCGAACGGG